rnacentral:rRNA from 1 species
GACGAACGCUGGCGGCGUGCUUAACACAUGCAAGUCGAACGAAAAGAGGGAAAGAGCUUGCUCUUUCCGGAAUUGAGUGGCAAACGGGUGAGUAACACGUAAACAACCUGCCUUCAGGAUGGGGACAACAGACGGAAACGACUGCUAAUACCGAAUCAGUUCCAAGGGCCGCAUGGCCCAUGGAAGAAAAGGUGGCCUCUACCUGUAAGCUAUCGCCUGAAGAGGGGUUUGCGUCUGAUUAGCUGGUUGGAGGGGUAACGGCCCACCAAGGCGACGAUCAGUAGCCGGUCGGAGAGGAUGAACGGCCACACUGGAACUGAGACACGGUCCAGACUCCUACGGGAGGCAGCAGUGGGGAAUCUUCCGCAAUGGGCGAAAGCCUGACGGAGCAACGCCGCGUGAGUGAUGACGGCCUUCGGGUUGUAAAACGCUGUGAUCCGGGACGAAAAGGCAGAGUGCGAAGAACAAACUGCAGUGACGGUACCGGAAAAGCAAGCCACGGCUAACUACG